CGCGGGGUAGAGCAGUCGGUAGCUCGUCGGGCUCAUAACCCGGAGGUCGUUGGUUCGAGUCCAGCCCCCGCUA
rnacentral:tRNA from 1 species